rnacentral:rRNA from 1 species
UACGUAGGGUGCAAGCGUUAAUCGGAAUUACUGGGCGUAAAGCGUGCGCAGGCGGUUUUGUAAGUCUGUCGUGAAAUCCCCGGGCUCAACCUGGGAAUUGCGAUGGAGACUGCAUUGCUGGAGUGCGGCAGAGGGGGAUGGAAUUCCGCGUGUAGCAGUGAAAUGCGUAGAUAUGCGGAGGAACACCGAUGGCGAAGGCAAUCCCCUGGGCCUGCACUGACGCUCAUGCACGAAAGCGUGGGGAGCAAACAGG